rnacentral:rRNA from 1 species
GAUGAACGCUGGCGGCGUGCUUAACACAUGCAAGUCGAACGGAAAGGCCCAAGCUUGCUUGGGUACUCGAGUGGCGAACGGGUGAGUAACACGUGGGUGAUCUGCCCUGCACUUCGGGAUAAGCCCGGGAAACUGGGUCUAAUACCGGAUAGGACGAUGGUUUGGAUGGCAUUGUGGAAAGUUUUUUCGGUGUGGGAUGAGCUCGCGGCCUAUCAGCUUGUUGGUGGGGUAAUGGCCUACCAAGGCGUCGACGGGUAGCCGGCCUGUGAGGGUGUACGGCCACAUUGGGGCUGAGAUACGGCCCAGACUCCUACGGGGGGCAGCAGUGGGGAAUAUUGCACAAUGGGCGCAAGCCUGAUGCAGCGACGCCGCGUGGGGGAUGACGGCCUUCGGGUUGUAAACUCCUUUCGCUAGGGACGAAGCGUUUUUGUGACGGUACCUGGAGAAGAAGCACCGGCUAACUACGUG